rnacentral:ncRNA from 1 species
UAGUCUGCCAUACGCAGGAAGACCCGCUGAACUGAAGCAUCUCAUUAAGCGGAGGAAAAGAAACUAACUAGGAUUCCCUUAGUAAAGGCGAUCGAAAAGGGAACAGCCCAACGUCUUAAUCCCGCAAGGGAAAUGUAGUCGGUUCACCUAUUGCACUGGUCUAAGUCAGAUGGAAUGCUGCGCGAUUCAGAGUAAAAGCCUCGUAUGACCAACCGCAAGCUUACGAUGGACCGGGGAGAGUCGGAUACUUUGAGAGUAGUGUCUUAAGGGGGUGGUAUGUCCCAUCCAAGGCUAAAUAACGUGAGGAGACCGAUAGAUUACAAGUAGUGUGAACGAAAGAUGAAAAGAACUCUAAAACAGAGGGUGAAAAGUUCCUGAACUUGCUUAGGGUUAAGGCUAUUUAUAGUACCCGUCUUGAAACACGGAUUAGGGAGUUUAUCUGUAGUGCGAGUCUUUGCACGUUAACUGUAAAGGCGUAGAGAAAGCAACUGGCGUUUGCAUGGCUACUGAGCAUUACUGAUAGGACCCGAAAGGUGGUGAACUUUGCCUGCACAGGUUGAAGUCAGGGGAAACUCUGAUGGAGGACCGUACGGGUUAUUGAUGUGCAAAUCAUUUUUCUGAUGUAGGUAAAGGUGCGAAAGACUCAUCGAACCACCUAAUAGCUGGUUUCCUCCGAAGUUUCCCUCAGGAUAGCUGUAAUGCAUUUAGUUAAGGGGAGUAGAGAUAUGGGUAGAGGUGCAGGGAGCCUUCGGGUUCUCAACUUAUUUCCAAACUUCGAACCUCC